GCAGACACUGUACCAAAACAAACCAAGGUUUUGCUGACACUCUUUGCUCUCCAAGUGGAUUCUCAUUUUCAGAAAGGAUCAAUACAUCUUCCACUACAAAAAGUCAACAGGACUUCAUGGGUGAGGAACUUCCUGAGACCUCUUCCUGAAGAAAGUUUUGGCUGCAGAUGGAUAAUUAGGACUUUUUGAUGAUGGAAAUUUGAGGCACCUGAAGUCCACCUGAAUCUUGGCCCAAGGAGCACAGAAGGACAUUGUCAGGCACAGGUCCAGUGACAGGACAAAAAACCUGGCUGGGGCUCAAAGGAAACAAAUGUCUCUCAUAUGUCUCAAGGCUAGGAAUUAAUAAAAAUAUUCAAUUCAAAAGAGGUGUUUUUCAGACACAUGUUUUAAAUCCCAGCAUAAAGAAUAUCUGGUGGUGAACAACCACAAACAUCAGGUAUUUGUACUUCUGCUUAUAGAGUUGCCACAAUUUCUCUACUUUUCUAUGACUCUGCG